CUCAUUCUUUUACAGGGACAUGGUACUCAAAUCAAGAAGUCUGGGUUGGGACACUUUGCUGUGGGGCUCGUGGGUAACUGUGGGCCCACGUGAUUCCCUCUGGGCUGCUGCUCCUGGCUUUUAGCAGCUCUCCUGGCCUGGUGGGUUCCUUAACAGCAGGGCACUGACUACCUUCAGCACAUCGGCUCGACUUUGGCCAAUCUGAGCCCCUGCACAAUUCCCCAACGGAUUUAUCGCCAAGCCCAGAACAUCCUCUGCAACCUUUUGCCCUGGUCGGGCAUUUCAGCCAAGAGCGGCAUUGAAUAUAGCCGGACCAUGUGACCCGAAGGGAGUCCUCUGCACAGCUGACAUGGCUCCAGCCCUCAACCGUUUGUGAACUUGACAGAAUUCCUGCUGCUGCUGCUGCUGCUGCUGCUUUCCCCUCUUUAGUCCAGAAGCAGAAGGAAAACAGGCAGUUCUGCUGCUCCGGCACGUCAGGGCGAUGGCCUGGCUGCUCUACCCCCAACCAGCCUCUCUGCAGUGGGGUGAUACUUGGCACAAGGAGCACCGUAGAACCGAGCGGACUGUUGGCAGCUGAGGCCUCCUCCCAGGUGGUGGUUGCUCGGCAUCUCCGCGUCCCUCAGGGAUGCCUCUCUUGGCUGAGCAGUUCUUGCCCAGGGGAGCCUUUGGCUCUUUCAGGCUGAAAUGUCUAUGUGCCGAAGGACAGACACACCCUCUGUAUCUUGCUUUCUGCUAGUCUGAACUUGGCCUUAAAGUGUGGACUGGAAGUAGGGAAAGAUGCUGCCCUGCUCUCCCUCCCUCUGCCUUGGGCCCCAGAGGGCAGCUGCAGUGGAGCCCCUCUCCUUCCUGGCAGAAGCAAGAGGCUUGAACACUCCUCGCAAAAUGGGCACGUCAUCGUAAGCUCUUUCGGCCUGCUGGCCUCUGUUGGGCCAGCUGUGGUUUGCACAGGUGAUUCCCUAUCCUCGGUGUAAGCUCUUGGGACAAAGGGCCAGGUGUUCAGCCUUGCAGGUCAUUUCCGGCCCCUCAAUAGCAGUGGGAAAACAUGGCUUCCCCUCUCCUGGACGAGCUCCAGCUGUCUUAAAGGCCAACAGUGCUGACCCUUCUCGAAAGGUGCUGUGAGGAGCCUCUCCUCCCCCUCCUGCACCUGCAGCAUAGAUAAGUAGCAUCACCUCCCAAGACCUGCCCAAUUGAUGCUCCUGAAGGAAGAUGUGCUCCUGGUCACCCCUUUCUGCAAACACUUGAGAAAGCAGCAGGCUUCCACCUUUAGUUCUCGGCGCUUUUUUUUGUGGUAGGAAGAGCCUGGGAAGCCCCGAUGAAGGUCCACACUCCCUUGCCUGCCCUGGGACAGUUGCCUUUCCAGGAGCUCCAUCCUCCAAUAUUGGCUGCGUUUUCACACUUUGGCUCUUUGGCUGGCACUCCAAGUGGAAACCUUCCUCGAACCUGGGGAGUUUAGGCAGAUUGUGUGUGCGUGUGUGUUUGUGUCUGGGUGGUGGUGGGGACACUGAAUUAGGAAAAGGGCUUUGAAAAAGAGACUGGGGGAGGGGACUUGCAGGCCUCUCAGAUUUUGCCCAUCUUGCUGGCUGCACCGAGCAGCAAGAUGCCCUGCAGAGGUGCUGCCCUUUGCUCCCAGCAGGCCUUGGGAAGAGGGCAAAUCAGCCUACGAGACUCUACCAGUGCCUCAGG
ensembl:lncRNA